AUGACUUCCGUUUUACUAAUAUCAGUGAUACAUUUGGCCCUAUCUCUCUGUCUUCCCUCCCAUUGGAGGGAAUAUCUCGUACCACUGUUCUUCAUAUACAACAUUCUUUGUUCUCUUACAAGCUAGUCCUUAUGUGGCAAAGCCCGAUUCAUUUUAGGAUUGGAAGAAGUUGGCUUGUGACUCAUUUGAAAACCUCAGAAAGGGCCUUACCCACAAAGACGGUACUGAUGGCUGGUUGGAGCAUGUGCUGCAGUGCCCUCCGCAGGGGUUCCUGAGGCUUCUCUGCUAGGACACAAUGAAAGAGUUCAAGGUGCUGGAAAGUGGGUUCGGUGGACAACAGAGCCUGAGACCUCAGGAAAAUCUCCCGGUCCUUUGGGGAUUUAGCUUUAUUCAUUGCUACUUGGGACAGAUACUCCAUACGUGCUGGAAAGAAGAACAAGAAGGGAGGCCAUGAAGGAGCCACAGGAUUCAGUUUUUGCGUGAUCUUUAAUGUGUUUCCAUUUUUCACCAGAUUUCUUAUUAACACACUACUAGAUCUCUCUGUGCAAUUGAACCCACUUACAUUCAUGAUAAUCUUUGUUUAAACUUUGUACUGAUUUAUAUCCUGGGCCGUUGAUUUGAGUGGAGCUGCACAGGAUGCAAAUUAUCAUAGAAGCUGACUCCAUGUGUGUAAUGACUGCGCUACCCUGCGAGAUCACUUCUGAAAAUAAUUGGAGCAAACCGAUCCAUUCCAAAGGCAAGAAAGGUGCUCUUCAGAAGUAUUUUAUGAGCCCCAGGAAUAAAUAAGGGAGGGAGAUCGCCCUAACCCUCUCUUCAAUUUGGUGGCAGAAUUUUAGCAAGGGCCUCCCAGAAGCCCCUUCCAGUGUGUCAUUUAAAGGAACAACAAAAUAAAACCACUGGAUUUUUAUGACUA